rnacentral:rRNA from 1 species
UGGGGAAUAUUGCACAAUGGGCGCAAGCCUGAUGCAGCGACGCCGCGUGAGGGAUGGAGGCCUUCGGGUUGUAAACCUCUUUCGCCAGUGAAGCAGGCCAUCUUCUUUGUGGGGUGGUUGACGGUAGCUGGAUCAGAAGCGCCGGCUAACUACGUGCCAGCAGCCGCGGUAAUACGUAGGGCGCGAGCGUUGUCCGGAAUUAUUGGGCGUAAAGAGCUCGUAGGCGGCUGGUCGCGUCUGUCGUGAAAUCCCCUGGCUUAACUGGGGGCUUGCGGUGGGUACGGGCAGGCUUGAGUGCGGUAGGGGAGACUGGAAUUCCUGGUGUAGCGGUGGAAUGCGCAGAUAUCAGGAGGAACACCGGUGGCGAAGGCGGGUCUCUGGGCCGUUACUGACGCUGAGGAGCGAAAGCGUGGGGAGCGAACAGG